GACGAACGCUGGCGGCGUGCUUAACACAUGCAAGUCGAACGGAAAGGCCCUGCUUGCAGGGUACUCGAGUGGCGAACGGGUGAGUAACACGUGGGUGAUCUGCCCUGCACUUCGGGAUAAGCUUGGGAAACUGGGUCUAAUACCGGAUAGGAACCAUCUUUAGUUUGGUGGUUGGAAAGUUUUUUCGGUGUAGGAUGAGCUCGCGGCCUAUCAGCUUGUUGGUGGGGUAAUGGCCUACCAAGGCGGCGACGGGUAGCCGGCCUGAGAGGGUGUACGGCCACAUUGGGACUGAGAUACGGCCCAGACUCCUACGGGAGGCAGCAGUGGGGAAUAUUGCACAAUGGGCGCAAGCCUGAUGCAGCGACGCCGCGUGGGGGAUGAAGGCCUUCGGGUUGUAAACUCCUUUCGCUAGGGACGAAGCUUUUUGUGACGGUACCUAGAUAAGAAGCACCGGCUAACUACGUG
rnacentral:rRNA from 1 species